rnacentral:rRNA from 1 species
CCCAGACUCCUACGGGAGGCAGCAGUGGGGAAUAUUGCACAAUGGGGGGAACCCUGAUGCAGCGACGCCGCGUGGGUGAAGGAGUACUUCGGUACGUAAAGCCCUAUCAGCAGGAAAGAAAAUGACGGUACCUGACUAAGAAGCCCCGGCUAACUACGUGCCAGCAGCCGCGGUAAUACGUAGGGGGCAAGCGUUAUCCGGAUUUACUGGGUGUAAAGGGAGCGUAGACGGCAGUGCAAGUCCGGAGUGAAAGCCCGGGGCUCAACCCUGGGACUGCUCUGGAAACUGUAAAGCUGGAGUGCGGGAGGGGCAGGCGGAAUUCCUGGUGUAGCGGUGAAAUGCGUAGAUAUCAGGAGGAACACCGGCGGCGAAGGCGGCCUGCUGGACCGUAACUGACGUUGAGGCUCGAAAGCGUGGGGAGCAAACAGGAUUAGAUACCCUAGUACU